UUACUAAUUUUUUUUUAUUUAGUUAAUGAUCUUGACUAAAGUUUAUGUUUUGAAAACAUAAGAAAGAAAUAUAA
rnacentral:tRNA from 1 species